rnacentral:rRNA from 1 species
AACGAACGCUGGCGGCAUGCCUAACACAUGCAAGUCGAACGAGACCUUCGGGUCUGGUGGCGCACGGGUGCGUAACGCGUGGGAACCUGCCCUUAGGUUCGGAAUAACUCCCCGAAAGGGGUGCUAAUACCGGCUAAUGUCUUCGGACCAAAGAUUUAUCGCCUUUGGAUGGGCCCGCGUUGGAUUAGCUAGUUGGUAGGGUAAAAGCCUACCACGGCGACGAUCCAUAGCUGGUCUGAGAGGAUGAUCAGCCACACUGGGACUGAGACACGGCCCAGACUCCUACGGGAGGCAGCAGUGGGGAAUAUUGGACAAUGGGCGAAAGCAUGAUCCAGCAAUGCCGCGUGAGUGAUGAAGGCCUUAGGGUUGUAAAGCUCGUUUACCCGGGAUGAUAAUGACAGUACCGGGAGAAUAAGCUCCGGCUAACUCCGUG